rnacentral:rRNA from 1 species
AUGGCCUCCGCCGGCGGCGACACCAAGGGGAGGAAGCGCAAGUUCCUGCCCCACGGCAAGCCGGUGCGGAAGGGCGCGUACCCGCUGCGCCCCGGCGUGCAGGGCUUCUUCAUCACCUGCGACGGCGGCCGCGAGCACCAGGCCACCCGCGAGGCCAUCUCUCUCCUGGACACCUUCUACGAGGACCUGGUUGACGGGAAAGUAUUUGAUGAGAAGCCCAAGAGCAUCCCUGACAAGCCGCUGAACAAAAAAAUAAAGUUUGACGACUCUGAUUCCUCCGAUGAUGAGGAUCAAGGUCAUUCAGUGGAGGAGGCUAACAAUGGAAAUGAUGCAGAAAAAGGUGAAGCCAAGUCAUCUGAGCAGCAACAAGAGGUACCUGGUGCCUUGGGAAUUGCCAGCAAGGAGGAUGAAGAACAAGUGGAAACUGCUGGCGGAUCAGCGCCAAAGAAGCAACGGAUAGAAGAUCCUCUGGUUUCUGAACAGACAGAACCAAAAGCGCCCACUGAUGAACCAGCAGAGACUACUGAUGAUAAGCCAAAAGAGUCCACUGAUAAACCAGCAGAGACUACUGAUGAUAAGCCAAAAGAGUCCACUGAUAAACCAACAGAGACUAGUGAUAAACCAAAAGCGUCCAACGAUAAACCGAAAGAGUUCACUGGUAAACCAAAGGCGUCCAAUGACAAACCUAUUGAUGAUUUAAUUGAUGAGGAUCUAAAACAACUGGGGGACAGGAAAAAGAGGCUGUUUGCAAGUGUUGAUUCCGGUUGCAAUGGUUGCAUCUUCAUUCAAAUGCACAAAAGAGAUGGAGACCCUGGUCCAGUUGAGAUUGUACAAAGCAUGAUGUCUUCGGCUGCUUCAACUCGUAAACAUAUGUCCAGGUUUAUUCUGAGGGUGUUGCCUGCUGAGGUGGUAUGUUAUGCUUCAGAAGAGGAAAUAACAAGAGCUGUUGCUCCACUUGUUGAAAAGUACUUCCCCAAAGAAUCUCCUUCGGGACAUAAGUUUGCUGUGUUAUACGAAGCAAGGUCAAACACAGGAAUCGAUAGAAUGAAAAUUAUAAAUGCAGUAGCAAAAUCUAUACCUCAGCCUCACAAAGUUGACCUCAGCAACCCUGACAGGACUAUUAUUGUUCAGAUUGCCAAGACUAUAUGCAUGAUUGGAGUGGUGGAGAGAUACAAAGAGCUUUCGAAGUUCAACCUAAGGCAGCUGACCUCGCCACCAGAGAAGUAG